AGUGAACGCUGGCGGUAGGCCUAACACAUGCAAGUCGAACGGCAGCACAGGAGAGCUUGCUCUCUGGGUGGCGAGUGGCGGACGGGUGAGGAAUACAUCGGAAUCUACUUUUUCGUGGGGGAUAACGUAGGGAAACUUACGCUAAUACCGCAUACGACCUACGGGUGAAAGCAGGGGAUCUUCGGACCUUGCGCGAUUGAAUGAGCCGAUGUCGGAUUAGCUAGUUGGCGGGGUAAAGCACCACCAAGGCGACGAUCCGUAGCUGGUCUGAGAGGAUGAUCAGCCACACUGGAACUGAGACACGGGCCAGACUCCUACGGGAGGCAGCAGUGGGGAAUAUUGGACAAUGGGCGCAAGCCUGAUCCAGCCAUACCGCGUGGGUGAAGAAGGCCUUCGGGUUGUAAAGCCCUUUUGUUGGGAAAGAAAUCCAGCUGGUUAAUACCCGGUUGGGAUGACGGUACCCAAAGAAUAAGCACCGGCUAACUUCGUGCCAGCCGCCGCGGUAA
rnacentral:rRNA from 1 species